UACGUAGGGUCCGAGCGUUGUCCGGAGUUACUGGGCGUAAAGCGCGCGCAGGCGGCGGUGCUGGCCCGGCGUGAAAGCCCCCGGCUCAACCGGGGAGGGUCGUCGGGGACCGCACCGCUUGAGGGCGGUAGGGGCUGGUGGGAUGCCUGGUGUAGUGGUGAAAUGCGUAGAGAUCAGGCGGAACACCCGUGGCGAAGGCGGCCAGCUGGGCCGUCCCUGACGCUGAGGCGCGAAGGCGUGGGGAGCGAACGGG
rnacentral:rRNA from 1 species